UCAUAGUCUUCGAAAAUUUCGAUUUCUGUUGUUUUUUUGGGAAUGUUGUUAUACACGUUUUAACUAUACAUAUAUAUGUGAGAAUCCACCCUGAUGAUACACCCAAAUUGAUAUUAUGAAGUUCCUACUUAUAAAUUUGGAUUCACAUCGGCGAAUAUUCACCACUGGAUCCAUACAAUUUACUACUAUACAACAAGAAAAGGAAAAAAAAAAAAAAAAUCUCCUUCAUAUUCUAAUAUUUGCAAUCAUUAUAAAAUAUUACAAUAAUUAGUGAAGGUAUAUACGUAUUGUAUAAACAAAAGGAAGGUUCGCCUUUGUAAUGCGACGGCCCG
rnacentral:lncRNA from 1 species